AAUGUCUUUCACUUAAAGUGAUUUUAUUAGGGAAUUGUUGUUUUUUUACACAGAAAAUACAGUUGUGCCAGCUGGAGGUUGGGAGUUGGGAUUGACAUCCCUGCAGCCGCUUGGGAUGGUUCUCCAGGGAAGAUUCCAUACAGAUUCCAACUCCUUGUAACCAAAUCCUGCUGCCCCAGACAUCGUCACCUUCCUCAGGACCACAAUUGAUGCCUUCACCGCUGAGGGAAAUCUCCAAGCCCUUAUUGCUCCUCAGGAGGUCACUGGGAAUGAUGUUAUCACUCCAUGGGGUCCCAGCACUGGCUGCAGAGUUCCUCGGACAAACAGAAUCACUGUGGUGCGGUUCAGACCUGCUGCUGGCUGGGGAGAAGAUUUUACAGUCACAGAACCUUAAAAUCCUUUAGGUUGUAAAGGACCUUUAAGGUCAUCAUGUCCAGUUGCUCAGAUGUUAUUUACAGAUCUGUUUUCUUCACCUCAGUUUCUCCAGUGCAAAGAAAAGCUGAUGUUUAUUCAUUACAACAUUAAAUAAAUCCA